rnacentral:rRNA from 1 species
GAUUCCCCUAGUAACUGCGAGUGAAGCGGGAAAAGCUCAAAUUUAAAAUCUGGUAGUCUUUGGCUGCCCGAGUUGUAAUCUAGAGAAGUGUUGCCCGUGCUGGACCGUGUACAAGUCUCCUGGAAUGGAGCGUCAUAGAGGGUGAGAAUCCCGUCUUUGACACGGACUCCCAGUGCGUUGUGGUGCGCUCUCCACGAGUCGAGUUGUUUGGGAAUGCAGCUCAAAAUGGGUGGUGAAUUCCAUCUAAAGCUAAAUAUUGGCGAGAGACCGAUAGCGAACAAGUACCGUGAGGGAAAGAUGAAAAGAACUUUGGAAAGAGAGUUAAACAGUACGUGAAAUUGUUGAAAGGGAAACGCUUGAAGUCAGUCGCGUUGGCCGGAAAUCAACCUUGGUUCUCCUGGGUGUACUUUCUGGUUAACGGGCCAGCAUCAGUUUUGAUCGAUGGAAAAAGUCCAAGGGAAUGUGGCAUCUUCGGAUGUGUUAUAGCCCUUGGUCGUAUGCAUCGGUUGGGACUGAGGAAUUCAGCACGCCGCAAGGCCGGGGUUCGCCACGUACGUGCUUAGGAUGCUGGCAUAAUGGCUUUAAUCGACCCGUCUUGAAACACGGACCAAGGAGUCUAACAUGCCUGCGAGUGUUUGGGUGGAAAACCCGAGCGCGUAAUGAAAGUGAAAGUCAAGAUCUCUGUCGCGGAGAGCAUUGACGCCCAGACCAGAAGUUUACGGACGGUUCUGCGGUAAAGCAUGUAUGUUGGGACCCGAAAGAUGGUGAACUAUGCCUGAAUAGGGUGAAGCCAGAGGAAACUCUGGUGGAGGCUCGUAGC